UAGUCCACGCUGUAAACGAUGUUUACUCGCUGUUGGCGAUACACAGUCAGCGGCUAAGCGAAAGCGUUAAGUAAACCACCUGGGGAGUACGAUCGCAAGGUUGAAACUCAAAGGAAUUGACGGGGGCCCGCACAAGCGGUGGAGCAUGUGGAUUAAUUCGAUGAUACGCGAGGAACCUUACCAAGGCUUAAAUGAUGUAGGACCGCUGCCGAAAGGUGGCUUUCUUUAUGACCGAUAUCAAGGUGCUGCAUGGCUGUCGUCAGCUCGUGCCGUGAGGUGUUGGGUUAAGUCCUAUAACGAGCGCAACCCCUGUUGUUAGUUGCCAGCGAGUAAUGUCGGGAACUCUAGCAAGACUGCCGGUGCAAACCACGAGGAAGGUGGGGAUGACGUCAAAUCAUCACGGCCCUUACGUCCUGGGCCACACACGUGCUACAAUGGUAGGUACAGAGAGCAGCCACGUCGCGAGGCGGAGCGAAUCUAUAAAACCUAUCUCAGUUCGGAUCGG
rnacentral:rRNA from 1 species